rnacentral:lncRNA from 1 species
GAUGAGUGGUGUAGGUCUACCCCGGGAUCUGAAUCCAUGAACCCGGGCUGCCAAAGCAGAGCGUGCUGAACUUAACCCCUACACCACAGGGCUGGCCCAGGGUCUGAUCAUCUUAAAAUGAGCCAUCUACUUAAAUUCUAGAUUCAUUGAACUGAGCCAAUAAACUCCAGUUUGUAGCAGCUCUACCAACACAGAGGAUGCCUGAGUGUUCUAAGAUCCUGCUUAAAACAACAAGUCCUCUCGUCUUUAUUACAAUGUGACACAUUUUCUGAUGAAGCAGCAAUCUGAAAUAGAAAACAUGAUGUCAUAGACUAUGAAAUAAACGUUCUUAUUUUUAAUGAGAUCUGCCACCAUUUCAGACCUGCCUGAAGUUGAAAUGAACACGAUGAACAACUGUGAAUAAGAACUAACAUUUCAGGGUGUGAGGAAUCAGAGGUGACCGGAUGAUUUAGUUGUGUCCCAAGCAGGAUGUCCUAGUUUCAAAAUUAUUCAUGUAUUCAAAGCAACAGAAUAAAUCCCCAUUCUAUUUAAGAGGUAGUGAUUCUUUCUAUCCAAGUGAAAAUGCAGCACAUAGACCCAAAUUCUGCACUGAAAAUAGAAGAUUAUUAGCAUUAUAAUUUAUGUAAAUGGCUGCUCUAUUCAUGUGAAGGUAAUUGGUAUCUCUCAGUCAUAUGCUAAUUAUUACAUAAACAGAUCAUAAACAAUUAUGUGAGACGAUUUCCUUUUUUAAGCUGAAACUCCACCUAUUCCUUUAAAGGGUCUACUAUGUUAUUAUAUAAAACAGGAAAAGAAUGACUUAUAUGAGUUCCAAUGCUUUAAAAAUAAAAAUUCUGUUUGGUGCUCUAAAAAUUCUGUUAGGUUUGGUAGGCAUAAGAUCUAUCUAAGAUCUAGGGCAAUGAUUCCCCAUCUUACUGGAACUCACUGGAUAUGUUUGUCUUGGUGGUAGACCUUGAGAGGAAGAAUGGGCGUAAACUUCUCAAACUGAGUGCAUCAAAAUCACCUGGAGAGCUCGUUAAACGCAGGUUUCAGGGCUUCAUCCCCAGAGUUCCGAUUCAGUGGGCCUGACAAUUUGCGUUUCUAGCAAGUUCCAGGUGAUGCUGAUGCAAUUGGUUCCAGCACCACCCUUUAAGAAUCAGUGCUUUAAAGCACGGAUGUGGACUUGGACCCUCAAGGCUGAAGGGAUGUCUAGACUCAAUAGCUUCUUGACGUCCCGGUCCUGUGAUGCUCCACAUUUCCCAUGGAACUUUGGACUGUCUAUCAACGGACGUGUGACAACAUGCCAAAGACCAGCAACAGCGUAGAAGGCUUUUCACAAAGCGAUGCAAAGCUCAGUUACAAAUACGCAUCCUGGUAUUUGAAAAUCGAUACCUCUCUUAAUGAAGAAAUCUUAGCCAUAAACAAAAAGUGUGAUGGAUGCCAAACAAAGAGAAGAAUCAACAAGCAAAAAGAAAAAGAGUGUACUCCUAUGAACAAAAGACUUCAAAGACAAAUACUUAGUAAAACUGCCCUACAGCCAAUUAGUUAUGCUGCGAAAACGUGUGCGAUGAAAAUACUUGCAGCAAAGAUGUUGAUGGCAAAGCUGCUUAUGACGAAAAUGCCAGACACAGAUUUUGUUCUCUUAGGCAAAUACCCAGAAGUAGAAUUGAUGAACCAUUGAUGAGCCUGCAAGCGUCUACUCCCAGCACCCAGGGCUCUGGCUGCCAAAGACUUGUCUCCAAAAUACCUCCCCCCAUCCCGUCCUCUCUUCAUGCCCUUUCUCUUAUAAUACGUGCCUGUCCCCUGCUCCUUCCUGCAGAGCCCUGCCUUCUGAGAAUGCGCGGAUUGAAUUACUGAGGCAGCAAAUGAGUAGCUAAUGCUCUUAGGUAAUAUUGUUGAACUUGGGGAUCCAGUAAGGUAGGCCAAGGGGCUCCUUUCCACUAAAACGUGAUUUUGACUGGGACUGAACAUGGCGGUUCGUGUCAGAUGGUACCACAGGCUAAAAGGCAGAUGCCGUCAAAGCAGCAGGUGAAAGAUCUAAGAGUGAGGCCGACUUCGUGGUAAGAAGAGGAGGCUACUGGGAGUGAUGGAGGAUGUGGAAAAGCCCUACUGCUCCCAAAACACUUCCUCUCCCCACAAUAUAAAAUUGGAGGGACACUGGAUGGGAGAGGCUCUUGAGAGAGAGAAUGUUAAAGAGGAGCUGGAGGAAGCAUCUGCCCAGGAGGGUGAGGAUGGUAUUCUCCAGACAGACAGACAGCGUCUGGGUACCUGGAGGGCCGACUUCUUGAGGACAGAACCCCACCUCACCUCUUGAAGUCGGGGGCACCGUGGUUGCUCGAUACCUAUUGAAUGAUUGACUGACUGGCUGAUGGAAUAAAUGAAGUGAAGAAGGAAAUGGCUGACUUUGCGUUCUAUCAACAACUGCCCGACAUUCAGCCAUAAUCUCAAGGGAUUCACAGGCCUUGAAAAAAUGGCAUUAUGUAGCCUUCACUGCAACUCAGGGUGAGUUGUCUGAAUGCAGGGGGCUCAUGCUGAAGGGGUCAGCCAGAAAGAAUGGGAAGCGUCAUUUAUAAGGGGUUGU